GAUGAACGCUGGCGGCGUGCCUAAUACAUGCAAGUCGAGCGAACAGAUAAGGAGCUUGCUCCUUUGACGUUAGCGGCGGACGGGUGAGUAACACGUGGGUAACCUACCUAUAAGACUGGGAUAACUCCGGGAAACCGGGGCUAAUGCCGGAUAACAUUUAGAACCGCAUGGUUCUAAAGUGAAAGAUGGUUUUGCUAUCACUUAUAGAUGGACCCGCGCCGUAUUAGCUAGUUGGUAAGGUAACGGCUUACCAAGGCAACGAUACGUAGCCGACCUGAGAGGGUGAUCGGCCACACUGGAACUGAGACACGGUCCAGACUCCUACGGGAGGUAGCAGUAGGGAAUCUUCCGCAAUGGGCGAAAGCCUGACGGAGCAACGCCGCGUGAGUGAUGAAGGUCUUCGGAUCGUAAAACUCUGUUAUUAGGGAAGAACAAAUGUGUAAGUAACUGUGCACGUCUUGACGGUACCUAAUCAGAAAGCCACGGCUAACUACGUG
rnacentral:rRNA from 1 species